rnacentral:rRNA from 1 species
GUAGGGAAUAUUGGGCAAUGGAUGCAAGUCUGACCCAGCCAUCCCGCGUGCCGGAAGAAGGCCCUCAGGGUUGUAAACGGCUUUUGACGGUGAAGAACCGACAGGAUGCGUCCUGUUUUGACGGUAGCCGUUGAAUAAGCACCGGCUAACUCCGUGCCAGCAGCCGCGGUACUACGGAGGGUGCGAGCGUUGUCCGGAUUUAUUGGGUUUAAAGGGUGCGUAGGCUGGAAGGUCAGUCAGCGGUGAAAAGCUAUCGCUUAACGAUAGUCUUGCCGCAGAUACUUCCUUUCUUGGAUGAGGAGGAGGCCACUGGAACGGAUGGUGUAGCGGUGAAAUGCAUAGAUAUCAUCCAGAACACCGAUUGCGAAGGCAGGUGGCUGUACCUUAAUCGACGCUGAUUCACGAAAGCAUGGGGAGCAAACAGGAUUAGAAACCCGUGUAGUCC